CAUUAGAUGGCCGAAUGCAAGCAAUGGAAUUUUAAUCCAUACCAUAGUAAUCUAGCAAUUACUUCUAAUG
rnacentral:tRNA from 1 species